rnacentral:rRNA from 1 species
AGUGAACGCUGGCGGCGUGCUUAACACAUGCAAGUCGAACGAGAACGGGUUAUAGCUUGCUAUAAUUGUCAGCUAAGUGGCGCACGGGUGAGUAAUGUAUAGGUAAUAUGCCUCUUACUAAGGGAUAACAAAUGGAAACGUUUGCUAAUACCUUAUACUCCUUAUUAACAGAAGUUAAUAAGGGAAAGAUUUAUUGGUAAGAGAUUAGCCUGUAUUGUAUCAGUUAGUUGGUGGGGUAAUGGCUUACCAAGACUAUGACACAUAACUGGUUUGAGAGGAUGAUCAGUCACACUGGAACUGAGACACGGUCCAGACUCCUACGGGAGGCAGCAGUGGGGAAUAUUGCACAAUGGACGAAAGUCUGAUGCAGCAACGCCGCGUGGAGGAUGACACAUUUCGGUGCGUAAACUCCUUUUAUAUGAGAAGAUAAUGACGGUAGCAGAUGAAUAAGGAUCGGCUAACUCCGUGCCAGCCGCCGCCGUAA